rnacentral:lncRNA from 1 species
UCUGAUAGUUUGUACUUCAUAUUAUAUAUCAGGUAACUUGAUCAAAACAACAGUCCAAGUUGGUAUAUGUUUACUAAAUAUUUGUUUGAAAUUUGUUGUUGAGCAUGAUGCAUUGAACAAUUAUGCAUGAAUACUUUUAUAUUUUUUAGAUUAUAGUCAUUUUCAUUACAUGAACAAUGUAGUGGCUAGAAUUCUAUAUCCCGUGUUUAAGGGAAAGUAAUUACCAUGUAAUCUCACAUACUGCAUUUGGUGCAAUUGCUAUGUAUUUGGUUGAGAAAAUAAUCUUUAGAAGAAAGAGAUUCGUAAGUUGGGAGAGGUGCACACGUUCAGAUUCACGGAGGACGCAACACUCGUACGUAUGAAGAGAAAGUAGGAAAAAAGACAAAUAAGUACAUGUCAGCAGACAAAGGUUAUACGGUAUUUUGUCAUGUUUCACAAGUCGAGGCUAGACAAGUCUAAUAUGGACGAUUUAGACAUGCUAGAUGAAGCCUGUUUUGUCCCCGAUUAUAAUGACACGGAUCUAGUGGAAGAUACUACUGUCCUAAUUGGUGAAGAGGGGGAGGAAGUUACCCACUCAAAGCGCAGGAAGAAACAGAGAAAAGAAGUUCAGUGUAGUUUGUCCCUGGUGUCCAGUACCAACUUGAGUGGACAUCUUGGACGUCAUGUGAAGUCUGUUUAUUUGACGUGGUAUAUGACUCCAGGAUUGGUGUGUUGGUGUUGUAGAUCAAUGGAAAAGGACAAUUCAUUUUUACGUAGAUGCCACAGUGAUGUUCAUUCGUGUGGAACUGGUGAAUUCGAUGAAAAACUGUGGAUCCAGUUGGUGAAUGGAUUUAUAUAUAUUCUGAUCUUGACACUAAAUAUGAGAAAUAUAUGGGAACUGAUGAACUAUGUGCAAAGUGAGGGACUAACAAAAUUACCAAAUAAAUGUUCCGAGGAGGACAUUAAUUUGGUGAAAAUAUAUAUUCAUGGAAAUGGUAUGGAGCCUGAGCCUGAGAUUCUGAAUUCUUUGUUGACUUUGUUUCACUGGAGGACUUUGUAUCAUCUGUUACAAAAACUUUCAUCAGAGGAUCGUGAACUCAGUAGUCAUUGGUAUCGGCAAAUGAAAUUUACUUUGCUGCAUGGAUAAAAGAUGAAUAAUAUGAUUUGACAUUUCAUACUGACAAUGUUAUCAUUAAUAAUAUUGUUUUACGCAAAUUUGAAUUAAAAUUACUUUGUUUACUUUAAAGUUGUUUUAAAGUGAAAAUGGAUUUAAAAACUUUUUGAUUUCCUAAGGAUGGACAUUAUGCUGAGACAUGGACUUGAUUGAUUUUUCUUGUGUUAUUAAUGUUGACUCUUGGCAUAACAAGAAUGAACUCUUUGCAUUACUUGUUUAUUUUAAAUAUAAAGUAAGAUUUCAGUUGAAUUAUAAUAAUUGUUAGUUUAAAAUUUUAAAGUAAUGGUUUAUAUUGUAAUAAUAGGGGGAAGUUUUGUUUGUCAAAAUGGGGGAGUGAGUGACGAUGUAGUGUGCUCAUUGCGAUUGUUUUAUAUUGCUAUCGUUAGAUGUCUCUAUAAGUAAAGUAUAGUCUGGUGUGCAAGUUUGAAUCUCUCCUGUGAUUGGUAACACUGUUCAUUGUACAAAUCUGAACAUGUAUAUAAGGUGUGACUUGAAAUAAAUCGCUCUCUUUGGGGUCUCUCUGACACUCACUGACAGCCUCUUACAGUUUUUCGGACUCUGUUAUUGAUGCUUACACCAAAGAGUAUAGUGUACCUUCAUAAAGCACUCGGCUACGAAGGCGUAACAAUAUGCAAAUUACUGGACAUAGGAAAAAAAAUGCACACAAUUCCUUAUAGACCAGCUGCGAAUAGGCAGGUUGAGAGAUACAAUACUUUAUUCCAGGCUAUAAGAUGGUUUUUAAGUGGCUGUACUGAUAAUGUGGGAUGUUUAUUUACCUCUUUUAACCAGACCAAUUCCAAAUAAACAUACUAGCUUUAUGCCAAAUAUGAUGAUGCUUGGUAGAGAAACCAAAGAACCUGUGGAAUUCAUGUUACAACUGCCUGAAUCAAAGGUUUUAGACAUUCGGAAUUAAAUUGAUAUAGUAUAUAGUAGGAUGUCUUUGUAACAUUGAUAUAGUGUUAACAUAGUAAAUAAUGAAGUCUAAUACUGAAGAAGAGACAAGCAGAUGAUCACUGGGUCAGUGAAAUGCUCAUAUUGCAGAUGAAGUACUUAAUAUUUUUUUAAAACAGAAGGAAAGUGGGAGUAAAUGGUCACUGGAUCAUUGAUAUGGUAGUGUUGGAGUUGGUGACGUAGUUUAAUACUGAAAGAGAGAUGGAGUAGAUUACCACUGGGUCACUGAUAUAGUGGCGUAGAGAUUAAAUGAACUUGAUAUGUUAAAAUUUAACUGAA